UACGUAGGUGGCAAGCGUUGUCCGGAUUUAUUGGGUUUAAAGGGUGCGUAGGCGGCCCUGUAAGUCAGUGCUGAAAUACCCCGGCUUAACCGGGGGGGUGGCAUUGAUACUGCAGGGCUUGCGUACAGAUGAGGUAGGCGGAAUUGACGGUGUAGCGGUGAAAUGCAUAGAUAUCGUCAAGAACACCGAUAGCGAAGGCAGCUUACUGGGCUGUAACUGACGCUGAUGCACGAAAGUGUGGGGAUCAAACAGG
rnacentral:rRNA from 1 species